UACGUAGGUGGCAAGCGUUGUUCGGAAUCACUGGGCAUAAAGCGUCUGUAGGCGGCCUUCUAAGUCUGUAUGUGAAAGCCCUCGGCUUAACCGAGGAACUGCAUCGGAUACUGGGAGGCUUGAGGCCCGGAGGGGAGAGCGGAAUUCCUGGUGGAGCGGUGAAAUGCGUAGAUAUCAGGAGGAACGCCGGUGGCGAAAGCGGCUCUCUGGUCGGCGCCUGACGCUGAGAGACGAAAGCCAGGGGAGCGAACGGG
rnacentral:misc_RNA from 1 species